rfam:Picea glauca, whole genome shotgun sequence.
GUAAUGGUGUCUUUAGACACCACCUUCUUUAUUUGAAAGUUGUUC